UACGGAGGGUGCAAGCGUUAUCCGGAUUCACUGGGUUUAAAGGGUGCGUAGGAGGGCAGGUAAGUCAGUGGUGAAAUCUCCAAGCUUAACUUGGAAACUGCCGUUGAUACUAUCUGUCUUGAAUAUUGUGGAGGUGGGCGGAAUAUGUCAUGUAGCGGUGAAAUGCUUAGAUAUGACAUAGAACACCAAUUGCGAAGGCAGCUCACUACACAAUCAUUGACUCUGAGGCACGAAAGCGUGGGGAUCAAACAGG
rnacentral:rRNA from 1 species